rnacentral:rRNA from 1 species
CAGGUGUAGCGGUGAAAUGCGUAGAGAUCUGGAGGAAUACCGGUGGCGAAGGCGGCCCCCUGGACGAAGACUGACGCUCAGGUGCGAAAGCGUGGGGAGCAAACAGGAUUAGAUACCCUGGUAGUCCACGCCGUAAACGAUGUCGACUUGGAGGUUGUGCCCUUGAGGCGUGGCUUCCGGAGCUAACGCGUUAAGUCGACCGCCUGGGGAGUACGGCCGCAAGGUUAAAACUCAAAUGAAUUGACGGGGGCCCGCACAAGCGGUGGAGCAUGUGGUUUAAUUCGAUGCAACGCGAAGAACCUUACCUGGUCUUGACAUCCACGGAAGUUUUCAGAGAUGAGAAUGUGCCUUCGGGAACCGUGAGACAGGUGCUGCAUGGCUGUCGUCAGCUCGUGUUGUGAAAUGUUGGGUUAAGUCCCGCAACGAGCGCAACCCUUAUCCUUUGUUGCCAGCGGUCCGGCCGGGAACUCAAAGGAGACUGCCAGUGAUAAACUGGAGGAAGGUGGGGAUGACGUCA